UACAGAGGGUGCGAGCGUUAAUCGGAAUUAUUGGGCGUAAAGCGCAUGUAGGUGGUUUGAUAAGUUUGAUGUGAAAUCCCCGGGCUUAACCUGGGAAUUGCGUUGAAUACUGUGAGACUAGAGUCGGACAGAGGGUAGUAGAAUUUCCGGUGUAGCGGUGAAAUGCGUAGAGAUCGGAAAGAAUACCAGUGGCGAAGGCGGCUACCUGGGUCCAGACUGACACUGAGGUGCGAAAGCGUGGGGAGCAAACAGG
rnacentral:rRNA from 1 species